rnacentral:rRNA from 1 species
UCAGGAUGAACGCUGGCGGCGUGCCUAAUACAUGCAAGUCGAGCGAACAGAUAAGGAGCUUGCUCCUUUGACGUUAGCGGCGGACGGGUGAGUAACACGUGGAUAACCUACCUAUAAGACUGGGAUAACUUCGGGAAACCGGAGCUAAUACCGGAUAAGAUUUUGAACCGCAUGGUUCAAUAGUGAAAGACGGCCUUGCUGUCACUUAUAGAUGGAUCCGCGCCGUAUUAGCUAGUUGGUAAGGUAACGGCUUACCAAGGCAACGAUACGUAGCCGACCUGAGAGGGUGAUCGGCCACACUGGAACUGAGACACGGUCCAGACUCCUACGGGAGGCAGCAGUAGGGAAUCUUCCGCAAUGGGCGAAAGCCUGACGGAGCAACGCCGCGUGAGUGAUGAAGGUCUUCGGAUCGUAAAACUCUGUUAUCAGGGAAGAACAAACGUGUAAGUAACUGUGCACGUCUUGACGGUACCUGAUCAGAAAGCCACGGCUAACUACGUGCCAGCAGCCGCGGUAAUACGUAGGUGGCAAGCGUUAUCCGGAAUUAUUGGGCGUAAAGCGCGCGUAGGCGGUUUUUUAAGUCUGAUGUGAAAGCCCACGGCUCAACCGUGGAGGGUCAUUGGAAACUGGAAAACUUGAGUGCAGAAGAGGAAAGUGGAAUUCCAUGUGUAGCGGUGAAAUGCGCAGAGAUAUGGAGGAACACCAGUGGCGAAGGCGACUUUCUGGUCUGUAACUGACGCUGAUGUGCGAAAGCGUGGGGAUCAAACAAGAUUAGAUACCCUGGUAGUCCAACCCGAAAACGAUGAGUGCUAAGUGUUAGGGG